UAGUCUGGAUUGAGUUGUCAUUAAGGAAAGUACUGUAUACCUGAAAAUGGUGGCCCUCAACAUAUUUCCAGAGUUGGGUAGAAUCUACGCUUUCGUUGUUGUAGUAGGAAGAACUUCCAGUACUGUGAAACAUGUUUCACUAAAAGCCAACGGAAAUGGUGGAGAAAUUAUUGUUGUCAUGAAAAAUCUCAUUUGGAUUUUAACGUCAAUUGUUCUUCUGAUUGGUAUCAUUCAAAAAAGUUUGACGUGUGUUAAAAUGUAUCGCACUUUUUACGUAGUUGCAGCUCUGAUCAGCUUGAUGGCAAUAGUAACUGCUGGCAUCACUUCUCUGGAUAAAGUUGAUCAAAGUCGUCUUCCGAUGAAGAGAUUAUCAUUUUUUGCUGUUGUAUUUGUCUUUUGCGCACUGGCAAUGUGUAUUAUCUGGAUAUUGAACGGAAUUAUUCGGUACAUCGAAAGUGAGAAGAAUAUUCAAGUGAAAUAUGUGCAAAAUUUGCUGCAAAUUUAGUUUUUGCUUCGUUUUUUCUAAUCAAAAAAUAAUAUUUUGAUUUUUUUUUCUAAAGGAGAUUCCAAAUAAAGAUGACAACCCUCAAACAUCCCCCCCAGCUUUGGCAUUCUGCCCACGUGUCCCUCGUAUGUCUGCAAAUUUCGCACACAUUCCCGGACUGCCAGCAAAUAAGGGGAACAAAAGACUUAACUAAAAAUCAAUAAAUUUCAACAGUCAGAAGCACGA